UACGUAGGGGGCAAGCGUUGUCCGGAUUUAUUGGGCGUAAAGAGCGUGUAGGCGGCCUGAAAGGUCAGCUGUGAAAACUCGAGGCUCAACCUCGAGACGUCGGUUGAAACCAUCUGGCUAGAGUCCGGAAGAGGAGUGUGGAAUUCCCGGUGUAGCGGUGAAAUUCGUAGAUAUUGGGAAGAACACCGGUGGCGAAGGCGGCGACCUGGUCCGAUACUGACGCUGAGGCGCGAAAGCGUGGGGAGCAAACAGG
rnacentral:rRNA from 1 species